AGUGAACGCUGGCGGCGUGCCUAAUACAUGCAAGUCGAACGGAUUGGCGCACGGGUGAGUAAUGUAUAGCUAAUCUGCCCUCCCCUCGAGGACAACAGUUGGAAACGGCUGCUAAUACUCUCUAUUGUAGGAUGAGGCUAUAUUGUAUCAGCUAGUUGGUGAGGUAAUGGCUCACGAAGGCUAUGACGCAUAACUGGUCUGAGAGGAUGAUCAGUUACACGGGAACGGAGAAACGGACGAGACUCCGACGGGAGGGAGCAAGAGGGAAUAUUGCUCAAGGGGGGAAACCCUGAAGCAGAAGAGGCGCGUGGAGGAUGACACUUGUCGGAGCGUAAACUCAGUUUGAUAGGGAAGCGGUACCUAACGAAUAAGCACCGGCUAACUCCGUGCCAGCAGCCGCGGUAAUUC
rnacentral:rRNA from 1 species